GCCCCGCCGUGCCCGCGCUGAGUUCUCCCCGUCCCGUUCUCUUCGGGGCUGCUGUCGCAAAAGCUGUUCUUCCCUCGAGUUCCGUGCCGUGCCUCGGUGGAUUGUCUGCUCAAAGAAAGGAAGUGUCUCUGCUCUCCUUUUUGGCGCAUGACAGCUGGAUAAAAUCGCCGUGUAAAAUGUUUGGGGACACAGGUUUCCAUGUGGUAUUUUUAAAGCCCUAGGAGCUGGAAGUCAAGUUCCAGUAAUGCUGAGCAAUGGCACGUGGUCUGAGCUACUCCAGGCUUUGUGAAUUUAAGGAAUUAGGGGGGGGGGGGGAAGAAAACCCUGAGAGCACUUAGAGCAUGGUAAAUUCGCCACACUUUAAAUAGCAUAACAGUAAGGCAGUGACUGGGUGGAAGGCUGAUAAAGAUAGCAUAGACGUAUAAUGCAUUUUUGACAGUUUUCCUUGCAGCAAGGUUCCUCCUGAGAGCUGGCCCAUUGAUUUCAUUCAGCAUGGACAAACCACUCUAGAAAGGCUCCUUGGAAUGAACUCUGCCACUCAGUCAGGCUGGUUGCUCCAGAGAAAGAAAAAUGUGCUCAUAGUCACGGUGGUGAAAGAGCAAGAGGGGCCCGGGGGCAGCGCGGCGGUGACCGAAGUCUGCAGCGCUGGUGCAGGGCACAGAGGCACGACUCUGGUCAUCCUUUCACUUGGGACUCCCUGGCGUUUCCUCUAUGCCGAGGAGUUGGCGGGCUCCCUUUAUGCAUCAAUUCCACCUGGAAAUGUGGACCUGUUUUGCAGUUUUGAAAGCCACGGCUCGUGUUCCCAUAGUAACACACUGCAGUUUUGGGAAAGGUGACAUUUUGGCCUCUGGGAAGAGCCUAACUCUGCCAGCCGCUGAUCGCUUGGCAGCUCCCAGAUGCCCAGAUUUAGGCUGUUUUUCCGGGCAGCUCCCGGAAUGUCCGGCAGCUUUCCUGGGAGCCUGCCGGCAGUUUGCUGACGCUCCGCGGCCGGCUCAGGGGCUGGGUGUCACUCCAACCUGCCCUGAGCUGGCUUCUUUCCUCAGCGCGGGGCGCUGGUGGGCGCUGGGCAUCCUUUCCUGCUGCUCCUUGCAGGUGGCUCACUCAUCUUGGUACAUGAGAGCUGCUUUAGGAGAGGGCCAAAGCUCUGCACUUCUUCAGCAGAGCCCCCUCGCAAACCAGCCAGGUCCGGAGGGGAUUUUGUUUGUUGAAACGCCCAGGCAUCCCUUGGGAAGGGAGGCUCUUUCUGAGCGGUGCGAGUGCUGCUGCUCACCGUGCGGAGUGUAACGCCUGUCCCUGCUCUCUGCCCUGCCUGGUUAACUCUCUUCUGUUCGCUACACUCCGGUAGGUGAGAGACAGAAAUGCAGUCACAUGGUUCCUAGUAACAGAACAAGGGGUUUAAGGCCAGUUAAAGUUACCGCGAAAAUAGAAAUCCAGUUGUUUAUAUGUUGCAAAGAAUUAAUGUAGAGGUAAAUCUGUAUUGUCGCUUUCUUAGGACCCUUUUGCGCUCAGGCUUUUGAGAAGCCAGGUUUUACGUGCGUGAAUAUUGAAAAGAAAAUGAAUGUUAAGUCUCGAGACUGGAACAUGUGAUAAUGGAAUGUUAGAAUAGGAAAUGCCAGUUGUGUUUUAGAUUUCAAAAUUUAUGAUGUGUGUAAAGUUGUUUAGUUAUUGCAUUUAUGAAACGGAGGGGAUAAUGUGAGUAUAUAUAAUUAAUCACAAAGCCCAAAUAGCACAUCUGGGAUAGUUGUGAUAAAUAGUUUAUUCUUUAAUGACCUGUAGCCCAAAAAAUACUCACUGGAGACAAUUGUAAAUAACCCUGUGUAAUGGAUCUUAGGGAAAUUUAGUGAUAGGGCUUUAGAAAGUGGCUGAAUAAAAAAAUACACAGAUUCAGAUAAUAAAUUUUUAAUGGCAAUAUUUCCAUUUGGUUAAACUGCUGUCUAUAAGGGGGUGGAGGUUUUUUGUUGCUAGUUAGCCAAUUCUAAGUAUUUAUCUUUAGUUUUUUUGUUUUGGGAAAUGUGUCCAGGGAGUAAUGAGUGGGCUAUUUAUAGUAAUAGGCUAAUGUUCUAGAAAUAUGGGAGGAAAAAUUCCAGAUUUGUUAGGUGUGCUGGUCAGCACAGCUGUAGCCUUUGAAUUACAUUUCCAUUUAGCAGUUAGUGAGAUAGAUGUUGGAGAAAUAGAUGCCAGUUUCGCACUGAAACUCUUCCCAGCAGUGUGCUGAAGUGAAUCAUGUGAUGUUUGUACAGUGGUUCAGCUCUCAAGCUCUAUUGUGCCUGUUCUUGCUAAUUGGGAUAGGGCACUGUGUGUGCUCUGCCUUCCAGUUAAUGCCUAACAGCUCACCCCUCACCUACAGCCUUACUAACCCCGUAUUUAAUUGAAAUUUGCCCAGUAGAUUCUUCCUUUGUAACUAUAAUGAUUUUUCCUUUUACUUUGGAAGCAAUUAGUAUAUUAUAGGUGUCCCCACGACCAAUAAUAGAAGCAAUCCUUGAUGUACUCUAGCUGUGUGCUUAUACCAGGAGUUCAGUUAACUUGUGGUUGUUUCAUUGAAAUAUUCUGAUGUAUGAACCUUAGCUACAAAAGAUUUCCAGGGAACUGAAUAUAAAAGUGAGUUCUUUAAGCAGUA